rnacentral:sRNA from 1 species
UUUUAUGCUGAAAGUUCUGUAUAGACUACUGGCGCAGUGGUAUAAUACCAGUCUAGUGAUAAUAAGGUAGUGGGUUCAAACCUAGUCGAAGAAACUUUUUCAGCGGUUUUAUUGUAGGGAAAAGCUUGCCUAAAUUAUUUUUGACGGAUUUUAUAAAUCGGUUGCAUAACAGACCUAUUUUUUUUUGAAUUCUAAUGUUUCUUAUUGUACUUUGAAUUAGUAAUUAAUUUAAUUUUAAAAGAAUUAUUAAUUGCGAUGGCAACCCUGAUAUCUAUCAAUAUUAAACAAAUUUGCUAUCCAGCCAAAUAUAGUGUUACAGACGACGAUAAUUUUAGAUUUUCGUCUGCAAUUUGUAUCAAUACUACCCAACAACAACAAACUCAUUGUUGUGCUGUAAAAUUUUACAGAGUAUUGGCACAGUGGUAUAAUACAAGGCUACCGAUGUAGAGGUAUUGGGUUCAAACCUGAACGAAGAAUGUUUUUCAGCGAUUUUAUUGUUGGGAAAAGCUUGCUUAAAAGAUUUUUUACUGGAUUUUCUAAAUCAAUUGCAUAACAGAUUUAUAUUUUUUGAAUUCUAAUGUUUCUUAUUGUAAUUUGAAUUAGUAAUUAAUUUAAUUUUAAAAGAAUUAGUCAUUGCUGUGGCAACCCUGAUAUCAAUAGUAAACAAAUUUACUAUCCAGCCAAAUAUAGUGUUACAGACGACGAUAAUUUUAGAUUUUCGUCUGCAUUUUGUAUCGAUACUAACCAACAACAGUCAAUAUUUUUUAACUUACUCAUCAGUUACCAACUUGAUUGGCAACAAGGAUCUGUGUUCGAUCUCAAUAAAUAACAUAACUUUUUAUUGCACAUUAGUCUGGGAAAAUGGUGAUUUUACAGUGGUAAUCGUUGAUAAUUUGAAGACAGCAAUUGCAUGACAAUGGUUCAGAGUUCAACUCCAGCGAUGGGUAUGAAUCUAUUCUUAAUGUUUUGUUUUUGACAAUACGCCAUCUAUUGAGUAUCGGAAAAACUACUUGGAAAGUAUCGAUACAACGAUAUAUCUAAAAAUAUCGACUAUCUAACAUUUAUCUAAAAAUAUCGAUAUAUCGUUAAAAAAAUUAGAUAGUCGCCAACACUACACAUGGCUAAGAAACUGAAUUUUAGUUAUUAUAGCUGCAAUUACAACAAAAGAUGCUAGAGCGAUUAAUAUCACGUCAAUCAUUUGGACUAUUAUGUGAAAAACUUUUAUAUGAAUGAACUCUUAUUGGAUAGUAUUAAGGGUCCUGUUGAGCUGAGAAACGUUUAUUGGAAACUCGGAAUAAUAAACUAACCUGGUCCACCAAUGGCAAUCCAUGCUUGGUACAUUUUUAAAAUGUUUACCGAUCUCCCACCACCUAUGUUGCUUUCAAUGACAUGGGCACUUAAAUGAGUUGUACUUGGACCUAAAUCUGCUAGCAGAAAAAACUAGAAAGAAAAUUUUCAAAGGAAUUUAAUGUGAGGAACUAAAAAAACUGCACUUUAUCUCAUUGAAAUAAAAUGGAGGUCAGAGGAUGUGCGGAAUGAGUUUUGGUUCCUGUCACAUUUCUUUCCAACAUCUACUUUGUUAACUGGAGUACAUUUGAUUACUUUGGUAAUUCCCAAAGUUUUAUGCAUCAAGAGGCUGAAGGACUGCAGAAAUGAAGAAUUCUUCCUACCCUUGUGGCCUGUGCUAAAAUGAAGCACAACUGUAGUUGAAAUUCGGCUUAACGCGUAUUCUACAGUUAAGUACUGACAGGUGACAUGUAUAAAGUUGAAUUUAUGUGUGGUGAUGACACAAACUUAUGGAGAUUUGCUGGCAAAAAGUUGAUUCCUUCAACAGAAGUGAUUUUAAAACUCUCUGCUGCCAGUGUAUUUUUGUACCUCUUUCUGUUAAGGAACAACCAAUCUUAAUGUUGUUCUUUGAUGGAUCUGGAUUAUUGGCGAUAUUGAGAAGUAAUCCGUAACUUUCCCGUGCAUCACUUGCUGCAUCGCUAUUACGGCCAGUAAUGCAAUCCGACACCUGGAGCCAUGUACCAAGAAAUACGAAAGUCAUGUCCAUCAGCUCAAUCUGCCAAACCUAAAAAAAGCCGACGAUGUUAUGUGACUAAGCAAUCCAAGUAGCCGAAGAUGCUGCAAGCUACUUUAUCUUGUGUCCGGAGCAUUGUUUUCUAGUUAGGCCAAUGACACUGACGUAUGCGGAUAUCCUUAAGUACGAGAAUCUGGCGCCCGCUCGGACGUGAUAAGAUUGUGCUCAUGCUGGUAAGCGGCGGAGUGGAUUCCGCCAUUUGUGCUGCCCUUCUACAUAAAGCACUUAUACAGGGUGACGACUCUUCGAGAGUGCAGGCCAUCCAUAUCGAUAACGGUUUCCUGCGUAAAGACGAAUCCGAGCAGGUCGUCACUAGUUUACAGCAACUUGGGCUCAAUCUUCGGGUAAUUUGAGAUGCUUUUCUGGACCAUUCAGAAUCUUAUUAUUGGCCAAAAUUUCCAAAAUACGUCGUCCUGUCACAUCUCAAAUUCUACGGUUUAUAAUACUUGUUCUAUGACCGAGUUCUUUUACAGACAGUGGCUUCUCAUUUCUUCUUCAUACCAGCGAUCAGAUUUGAUAUUUCGAAUUGUUUUAUGUUGUUGAAGUAAGUUUGACUUUCCGCGAUACCUCCACCAACGUGCAUGGUCGCCAAACUUUGUCGUUGUGAUUGACAGUAAAGACUUAUCAUAACGAUUCCGAAAUUGUUCAUCAGUUGCGCCUUCACGGCCGUGUAGUAGAACCUCUGGAAGACUUCCAUAAAGAUGAAGUAAGAGCCUUAUGUCGCGAGCUGGAUCCGCCCGCAGAAUUACAGGAACGUCACCCGUUUCCUGGUCCCGGUUUGUCAAUUCGAAUCAUUUACGCCGAAGGACCGGUGCUGAUUCGUUUGAUGGUCCAUUAUGCCAACAUAGCAGCCAAGGAACAUGUCUUGCCCAAUCGGAUUGAAAUCGUGACGUCGGAAGAAGAGCGUCUUAUCUGGAAGAACUGUCCAGUCACAACCAGUAUGUUGCCACGCUACUGCCUAUUCGCACUGUCGGUGUUCAGGUACAGGAGGUUGCAGAAAAAUGUCUCGGGUAUGGAAAACAAAGCAUAGGGAAAACCGCCACAUUUUUCUGCAACAAUGCCUUUUGGCAUGCAGGAAGAAUAGCGGAGACGACUAUGAUAAAACGAAAUCAAAGUGGUUUUAUCACAACCACUUCAGAGAAAAGUUGGGCUUAUUUUUUAAAACUGAAUGGAAAACAUUUCUGCCGAUGGAUGGAUGUAUGUGAAUCAAAUCCCAUCAGAGGUAAAAAGUACACAAUAUGUUUGCUGAUUCACUUUAUUGACGUUAAUAGUUUACAAGCGUUUUGGUAAUUUACGUUGGGCUACUUUAAAUUAUCAUUACAAGUGUGAACAAGUUA